UGAGGAAUAUUGGUCAAUGGGCGAGAGCCUGAACCAGCCAAAUCGCGUGAAGGAAGACUGCCUUAUGGGUUGUAAACUUCUUUUAUACAGGAAUAAAAAAGGGGACGUGUCCCUUAUUGCAUGUACUGUAUGAAUAAGCAUCGGCUAACUCCGUGCCAGCAGCCGCGGUAAUACGGAGGAUGCGAGCGUUAUCCGGAUUUAUUGGGUUUAAAGGGUGCGCAGGCGGGCUUUUAAGUCAGCGGUGAAAUCUCGGGGCUUAACUCCGAAACUGCCGUUGAAACUGGGAGUCUUGAGUAUGGAUGAAGUAGGCGGAAUUCGUUGUGUAGCGGUGACAUGCUUAGAUAUAACGAGGAACUCCGAUUGCGUAGGCAGCUUACUAAGCCAUAACUGACGCUCAAGCACGAAAGCGUGGGGAUCAAACAGGAUUGGAUACCCUGGUAGUCCACGCCGUAAACGAUGAUUACUAGUUGUAUGCGAUAUACCGUAUGUGACUAAGCGAAAGCGAUAAGUAAUCCACCUGGGGAGUACGCCGGCAACGGUGAAACUCAAAGGAAUUGACGGGGUCAUAGCUGUUUCCUG
rnacentral:rRNA from 1 species